GGAGAGCUGGCUGAGCGGUCGAAAGCGGCGGUCUUGAAAACCGUUGACCCGAAAGGGUCCGGGGGUUCGAAUCCCUCGCUCUCCGCCA
rnacentral:tRNA from 1 species